ACAACGAAGAGUUUGAUCCUGGCUCAGGAUGAACGCUAGCGACAGGCUUAACACAUGCAAGUCGAGGGGCAGCACAGGUAGCAAUACCGGGUGGCGACCGGCGCACGGGUGAGUAACGCGUAUGCAACUUACCUAUCAGAGGGGGAUAACCCGGCGAAAGUCGGACUAAUACCGCAUGAAGCAGGGGCCCCGCAUGGGGAUAUUUGCUAAAGAUUCAUCGCUGAUAGAUAGGCAUGCGUUCCAUUAGGCAGUUGGCGGGGUAACGGCCCACCAAACCGACGAUGGAUAGGGGUUCUGAGAGGAAGGUCCCCCACAUUGGUACUGAGACACGGACCAAACUCCUACGGGAGGCAGCAGUGAGGAAUAUUGGUCAAUGGGCGUAAGCCUGAACCAGCCAAGUCGCGUGAGGGAUGAAGGUUCUAUGGAUCGUAAACCUCUUUUAUAAGGGAAUAAAGUGCGGGACGUGUCCCGUUUUGUAUGUACCUUAUGAAUAAGGAUCGGCUAACUCCGUGCCAGCAGCCGCGGUAAUACGGAGGAUCCGAGCGUUAUCCGGAUUUAUUGGGUUUAAAGGGUGCGUAGGCGGCCUUUUAAGUCAGCGGUGAAAGUCUGUGGCUCAACCAUAGAAUUGCCGUUGAAACUGGGGGGCUUGAGUAUGUUUGAGGCAGGCGGAAUGCGUGGUGUAGCGGUGAAAUGCUUAGAUAUCACGCAGAACCCCGAUUGCGAAGGCAGCCUGCCAAGCCAUGACUGACGCUGAUGCACGAAAGCGUGGGGAUCAAACAGGAUUAGAUACCCUGGUAGUCCACGCAGUAAACGAUGAUCACUAGCUGUUUGCGAUACACAGUAAGCGGCACAGCGAAAGCGUUAAGUGAUCCACCUGGGGAGUACGCCGGCAACGGUGAAACUCAAAGGAAUUGACGGGGGCCCGCACAAGCGGAGGAACAUGUGGUUUAAUUCGAUGAUACGCGAGGAACCUUACCCGGGUUUGAACGCAUUCGGACCGAGGUGGAAACACCUUUUCUAGCAAUAGCCGUUUGCGAGGUGCUGCAUGGUUGUCGUCAGCUCGUGCCGUGAGGUGUCGGCUUAAGUGCCAUAACGAGCGCAACCCUUGCCACUAGUUACUAACAGGUAAAGCUGAGGACUCUGGUGGGACUGCCAGCGUAAGCUGCGAGGAAGGCGGGGAUGACGUCAAAUCAGCACGGCCCUUACAUCCGGGGCGACACACGUGUUACAAUGGCGUGGACAAAGGGAAGCCACCUGGCGACAGGGAGCGAAUCCCCAAACCACGUCUCAGUUCGGAUCGGAGUCUGCAACCCGACUCCGUGAAGCUGGAUUCGCUAGUAAUCGCGCAUCAGCCAUGGCGCGGUGAAUACGUUCCCGGGCCUUGUACACACCGCCCGUCAAGCCAUGGGAGCCGGGGGUACCUGAAGUCCGUAACCGAAAGGAUCGGCCUAGGGUAAAACUGGUGACUGGGGCUAAGUCGUAACAAGGUAGCCGUACCGGAAGGUGCGGCUGGAACACCUCCUUU
rnacentral:rRNA from 1 species